UAUUAGCGACCUAAGUUUAUCUAAGUACCAAAAGAAAAAAGAAAAAAAUACAUAAAAAUAUAAAAUAUGUAUCAAAAUAAUGUUAAUACAUAUGUUGUUAUAAAAUAUAUGUAAACAAAAGUAUAUAAGUAUAUGUAUAUAGAGAAAGGACAAGAUUGAAUAAAGAAAGAUUUUUCUAAAGGAAAAGACUACGUAAUAUUUUUAGUGUAAAAAGUAUAAAUUAUUUGACUAAAUAAUGUAAAUCAAUCAAAUAUUUUAAUACAAAUAUUAACAGCCUAAAUUUGUCUAAACGCGUGGUGAAGAUUAAAUAAAUAAUAUCCCGCCCAACACCCCAAAAAUAAAGCUUUCACUACGAUUAACAUUUGUACAAGUGUAAGAAUAUAAAAAUAUAAUUACAUAGUUUAAAGACUUCUUUGACUGUCAUUCCCGAUAAGUAUAUCCAAUAACCUGUAUAAAAACUUGUAAUAAAAAUGUUAGUAACAAAUAAAUAAUAAUAAAAAUAAAGUGAAAAAUAUGUGUGCAUAUACAUAUUUAAAAAUAUAAUUUUUGUUAUAAAGUGGGCUUAGAUAAAGUUUGAAAUAUUAUGAUGAUUUUUUCAUCGCCUAAAUUUAUUUAUUUUUUGUUACGUAUUGGUAUACAUAAUGUCCAUCUUUUUAUUUGUGAAGGCCUCAAAAAUCAUCGGAGAAUUUUUUCAUCGGCUAUGUGUCCAUUUUUGAUAUAAAAUAAAUAACUUGUAAAGAUCCGCCUUUUGUAUUGGGGUGGCCUCAAACAUCUGACAGAAAAAUAAUGGCAUUGGCCAUGUGUCGGCCUUUGAUAUAAAUAGUAAAUUUGAAAAUAUAAAGUCCGGCUUUGUAAUGGGAUGACCUCAAAUAUCCAGACGGAGAGAUAAUUUCAUUGGCCAUGUGUUGAUAUUUGAUAUAAAAUAAGUAACUUGAGAAAACGUCGAAAAUCCGAAGGAAAGAUACUGUCAUCGGCCAAAUAUUUAUUUUGAUAUAAAGUAGGCAAACUUGAGAAAUAAAAAUUUGUAUCUAUUUUCGAUAUAGAAUAAAUAAUCUGGAAACUAAAUAUUCAUCUUUUGUAUUAGGGUGGCCUCGAAUAUCUAAUGGAGAGAUAAUGUCAUUGGCCAAAUAUUUAUUUGUUAUCAGUGUAGUAACUUACCAAGUAAAGAAGGGACAAACAGUCCAAAACUCAGUCAAAGCACAGCUAAGCAAAUCCCUCUAUACAGUAAAUUCUUCGGGUGCAAAUCCAAAAAAAUUAACAAAAACAUAACAAAACAUAAAAGGAACAUAUCAAUGAUAAUAAUGGAAAAAACAAAGAGCAAAAUCAUAGAACAAUGAUGAAAUAACAGUGAGCAAAACAACAAUAAUAAACCAAUUGUAAUAAUCAGAGAUGAAGAAAAAUUCCUAAACUAUGAUGGUAUUGGUGUUGCUUCAAUAGAGGAUGCCAGAGCAAUGCCGAAUCUGUACAAGAACUUACCAGAUCUGGUCCAUCAGAGGCAUGGAAGCAGUUCCUUGAGAGCUCGCCCGCCAUCGAUCAACACUGAUGUGGUACGACAGAAAAAAGGGAGAAAGGGCAGAGCGUUUGAGGUGGACGAAGUUAGAUCAGUUGCUAGAGGGGCAGUGAGCUUCCGAAUUUGGAGCUGGAAACUCGUCGGUCAACAUAUUCGGUGAGCCAGUGGUGAAACAAAGAGGAAAAAAUGGGGAGCAGCGGCAGAGUUGUUGUAGGUGUUAGUGGUUGUCGGUCAUUCGGUGGUCAAGCUCGGUGGCGGCAGAUUGGCGAGAAGGAAAAGAAAGUGGUUGUAGCCCAUUCGCCGGAGCUCUGGCAAGAGUGAUGGAUAAAGAUAAAGAUGCGUAUGUGUAGAGAAUUGUGUGUGUUGUGUGUGUAUUGUGCG
rnacentral:lncRNA from 1 species